rnacentral:pre_miRNA from 17 species
UCAAGCUUGCAGACUGGGCCGUGCCACGCUCGUUCUUCACUGGCUAGCUUUACUGCUGUACUUUGGUAAAGCUGCCAGUUGAAGAGCUGUUGUGGGCGGCCAUUUUAUCACCAAUGACAU